AUGUCAUGAUGAGGAGACUUCUGAAUGAGGUCUUUGAAUCUUUCCCAAGCUUCAUGAAAAGGCUCAUCAAGCCCUUGAGCAAAAUCACUAAUAACAUCUCGAUAU